rnacentral:misc_RNA from 1 species
AGAAAAAAAAAAAUCCUAACUUGUUGCAUAGACCUUUGAAAUCUAAAGCCUUUCCUUGAGUUAUGACAAUGUCUAUUUCCCCAGCAUUAUCCAAAACUAAAACAUUUAGUGCCACUGCAGUAAACUGUACAGCUUUCAAUCAUAUAUAAUCAUAACUUGAAAAAUUAUUCACUCUUCACAGGUUUCCACAAAGAAAAUAUAUCACUUAGAAACUACCUGUUCUCCUUAAGAAGCUUCAAAAAUCAUUUAUAAUAAUAACAACAAUUUCAUUAGGAAUAGCAGGACUGAUAAGCUUAAAAAAGAAAGCACUGAAUACAACUAAAUCCAGGUCAAACAGGAUUAUAUUUGAGCACUGAAUACAACUAAAUCCAGGUCAAACAGGAUUAUAUUUG